UACGUAGGGACCAAGCGUUGUUCGGAUUUACUGGGCGUAAAGGGCGCGUAGGCGGCGAAUCAAGUCAGCUGUGAAAUCUCCGAGCUUAACUCGGAACGGUCAGCUGAUACUGUUUUGCUAGAGUGCAGAAAGGGCAACCGGAAUUCUUGGUGUAGCGGUGAAAUGCGCAGAUAUCAGGAGGAACACCGAUGGCGAAGGCAGGUCUCUGGGCCACUACUGACGCUGAGAAGCGAAAGCAUGGGGAGCGAACAGG
rnacentral:rRNA from 1 species